rnacentral:rRNA from 1 species
GACGAACGCUGGCGGCGUGCUUAACACAUGCAAGUCGAACGGUGAAGCGCCUUCCUUUUUGGUGGGUGUGGAUGAGUGGCGAACGGGUGAGUAACACGUGAGUAACCUGCCCCCUUCUUCUGGAUAACCGCAUGAAAGUGUGGCUAAUACGGGAUAUUCUGGGUCUGUCGCAUGAUGGGUCUGGGAAAGAUAUUGUUUCGGUGGGGGAUGGGCUCGCGGCCUAUCAGCUUGUUGGUGGGGUGAUGGCCUACCAAGGCGGUGACGGGUAGCCGGCCUGAGCGGGUUGACGGUCACGCUGGGACUGAGACACGGCCCGGACUCCUACGGGAGGCAGCAGUGGGUAAUAUUGCACAAUGGGCGCAAGCCUGAUGCAGCGACGCCGCGUGAGGGAUGGAGGCCUUCGGGUUGUGAACCUCUUUCGCCAGUGAAGCAGGCCUGCCUCGUUUGUGGGUGGGUUGACGGUAGCUGGAUAAGAAGCGCCGGCUAACUACGUG